GACUCGGUAAGGCCAGAGACGCAAGCGUUAAUCAUCUUGAUCAGGCGUAAAGGGUAUGUAGGCUGCUUUAAAAAAAUAUAUGUAUAAUAAAGCUAUUAAAAAAAAAAUUUUUUUAUUAUAUAUGAUAAUUUAGAUUAUAAUUAAAGCUAGAAUCAAAUAGAGGUCACGACUUUAAAAAUGAAAGACAACUUCUAGUGGAAGGUCGAUAUCUGUAGAUAUUAGAAGGAGUACUAAUUAGCGAAAGCUCUUUUCCAUCUAAUGAUUGACGCUGAGAUACGAAGGGGAGGAUAGACAAUAGGAUUAGAUACCCUAGCAUCCCUCCCUGUAAACGAUGAAUGGUAGUUGCUAGAUGUAGAUAUAUUAGUGACGAUGCUAACGCGUUAACCAUUCCGCCUUGUAAGUACGGUCGCAAGUCUGAAAACAAAAAAAUUAGUCGGUUUCGGAGCAA
rnacentral:rRNA from 1 species